rfam:Capsicum annuum cultivar Zunla-1 chromosome 5, whole genome shotgun sequence
GUCUCUGAUGAUGAUCAAACAUAUAACUUUCGUUCUUCCGAGGAUUAACUUCCGUUGUGGAAAAAGUUAUUGGAGACCUGAACUGAAGAGAC